rnacentral:rRNA from 1 species
UACGUAGGGUGCGAGCGUUGUCCGGAAUUACUGGGCGUAAAGAGCUCGUAGGUGGUUUGUCGCGUUGUUCGUGAAAACUCACAGCUCAACUGUGGGCGUGCGGGCGAUACGGGCAGACUGGAGUACUGCAGGGGAGACUGGAAUUCCUGGUGUAGCGGUGGAAUGCGCAGAUAUCAGGAGGAACACCGGUGGCGAAGGCGGGUCUCUGGGCCUUACCUGACGCUGAGGAGCGAAAGCGUGGGGAGCGAACAGG